UACGGGGGGGGCAAGCGUUGUUCGGAAUUACUGGGCGUAAAGGGCUCGUAGGCGGCCAACUAAGUCAGACGUGAAAUCCCUCGGCUUAACCGGGGAACUGCGUCUGAUACUGGAUGGCUUGAGUUCGGGAGAGGGAUGCGGAAUUCCAGGUGUAGCGGUGAAAUGCGUAGAUAUCUGGAGGAACACCGGUGGCGAAGGCGGGUCUCUGGGCCGUAACUGACGCUGAGGAGCGAAAGCGUGGGGAGCGAACAGG
rnacentral:rRNA from 1 species